CGCUGGCGGUGUGCUUAACACAUGCAAGUGGUGCGACGAACCAGAGCUUGCUCUGGGGCAAAGCCGCGAACGGGUGAGUAACACGUGGGUAAUCUACCCCGAUGACCGGGACAACCCGAGGAAACUCGGGCUAAUACCGGAUGUGGUACGGAGACAUAAGUCUCUUUACUAAAGGUAGCUUCGGCUUCCGCAUUGGGAGGGGCCCGCGGCCCAUUAGCUAGUUGGUGGGGUCAAGGCCUACCAAGGCAACGAUGGGUAGCUGGUCUGAGAGGACGAUCAGCCACACUGGGACUGAGACACGGCCCAGACUCCUACGGGAGGCAGCAGUGGGGAAUCUUGCGCAAUGCGCGAAAGCGUGACGCAGCAACACCGCGUGAGGGAAGACGGCCUUAGGGUUGUAAACCUCUCUCAGAUGGGACGAAGGUGAUGCGGUGAAUAGCCGAUGUCAUUGACGGUACCGUCAGAAGAAGCUCCGGCUAACUACGUG
rnacentral:rRNA from 1 species